ensembl:lncRNA
AUUAGUUCCAUCAAUGUAAUCUGGAAAUCUUUUUUUUUAUGCAGACCCAUCUCUAUACAGAAAACUCCUUAACAGAAACACAGCUCUUUUAUCAAUUGCCUGCCCUAUUCAUAGCAAUUCAUACCAAUUAAUAACAACCAGGAUGGCACUUCAAGGUAAAUGCAGCCAUAUGCUUUUGAAUGCAUAAGAUCUCCUGUACUCAGUGCUGCUGUUAAAGCAGUUCUGUGAAGAACCUGUCCUAAAUAUGCAGGAUAAUCUUUUCUGUAAGCCUUUCCACAAGGCUUGGCUUGAGAGCAUGGCAAAGGUAUGUAUAUUAUGCUCAUUAUUCCAGGGGAGGCUACCUAUCAGAUGUUAUCCUGACUGAUAUUGACUGUUAUUGGACAAUUGGAUAUUCAACAGAAUGGUUUAACCAUCACCAAAGCAAGCAGAGGAUUGAAUUCAGCUGAAGUAAGUGAAGCCAAUGCUCUUUCACAACUAGGUUAGUGUUUGCUAAGCAAUGUCUCCACCUGGUAUUUUAAGUGCAUGUUAUAUAUUACAUAACAUCUGUGAAAGCAUGAGAAAGCUCUCUGGUGGCUGGAAGGCAUGGGUUCAGUCAGGUUUACAAAUAUACAAGCAGCCAGCCUUCUCCAAAAUGACAGUUACUAGGGAUGCGUCUAAUUCUUGCUAGAUACUUGCUCUACUUGCCAGAUAAAGACUUGUCUUUUAAAUGAAAGAAUCCAGUUUCCAGAGGUAUGUGUUUUUUCUUGUAUCUUGUAUAAUUUUCAUGCGUAUUUCACAGGUAGUCUAUGCAAUACAACGUGAAUAUUUCAAGUUUUUUUGUUUUGUUUGUUUGUUCUUUCAGACCGUGGAGUUCUCUGCUAUAGUUUUGGUAUCACUAUUGGUGGCACAGGACUGUUUGGGGCUAGUAAAUGGCAGCCUCUCUGACAAGAGCUCCUUAGGUUAUUGAUAACCAGAGGAAUUACAUACAGCUGCUAUCCCAUGCUAAAGAGAUGUACGGAAGAGGGGGAAGAGAUAUGAUAGAACACUUCUUUCUAUAAAGUUGUCUGCCUACACCAUUGUGGCAGAUGUCACAGCACAUCCCAUGUUCAAGUAUGUGGCCACACGUACUGCAGCUCUAUAGCAGGUGAGACGCUCAUACACACAUGCAGUCAUGUCCCCUCUCCACACAAGUGGUGGUCUGUCAUGUUCACACAGGUGCCCAGCAUGGAAUCCCACAGGCAGUCUCUGUGGAGAUAAGUGGACAGAAAGUUUGCUGAUGGCUUCUCAGUUCUUUACUUUCUCGGCUCAAAGAAUCCCACUAACUCCUGGCCUUCCUUCUCUCUGACUUCUGGGAACUGGUCAAAUAUUCCUCACUUCAUCUCUUCUCCCUUCAAAUCUUGUCCUCUUAGAGGCAGGUCCCAUGGAAGACAGGUCAAUAAUAAGCAGCAGUGGUCCACUGCUUCAUUUUCAGGGAUGUGAAGCCAUCAUCUUGUCACCAUGUUGGGAUAUGAUGGAAGUGUCUUCAGAGCAGGCAUUUAAACCCAAGCUAGCCUACCGUUCUUGUUCUAUACCCAUGCACCGUGCAAUGCAGACUCCUGAAGGUAGGUGAGAUGGAUCCCACCCACUCUGUCUCAUCACCAGCAUGCCUGAGAAUCCACUGCCGUUUGACUUUCCAGAUGCUCCCAGCAAGUCUGAGAAAACAGUGACUCCUGCACCACAACAGGUGCAUUGAUACAUGGCUGUUAAGCACCAGGGUGUGGGAGAGGUAGGACCAAUUAUCAGGACACUUGGCAGAUACAUCUGCACUUCUGCAAGCAUCCCUUUUAGCAGAGGAAGUGAGAAAAGAAAGCAGAGAAAGCAUUUCAGGAAGAAUAGAGUGAACUCAGCACAGACCUACAAUAGUCCUUCCUAACAUUUUGCAUACGUGGAACUGCAAAAUUCCCCAUUGUGGAAUGGGUGACAAGACAUCUAUGCUUGGUUCAGUUAGGCUUUAAUAAAUUGCUCUCCCUGUCUUUCCA